AGAGUUUGAUCAUGGCUCAGAGUGAGCGCUGGCGGUAGGCCUAACACAUGCAAGUCGAACGGCAGCACAGUAAGAGCUUGCUCUUAUGGGUGGCGAGUGGCGGACGGGUGAGGAAUACAUCGGAAUCUACCUUUUCGUGGGGGAUAACGUAGGGAAACUUACGCUAAUACCGCAUACGACCUUCGGGUGAAAGCAGGGGACCUUCGGGCCUUGCGCGGAUAGAUGAGCCGAUGUCGGAUUAGCUAGUUGGCGGGGUAAAGGCCCACCAAGGCGACGAUCCGUAGCUGGUCUGAGAGGAUGAUCAGCCACACUGGAACUGAGACACGGUCCAGACUCCUACGGGAGGCAGC
rnacentral:rRNA from 1 species